rnacentral:rRNA from 1 species
GACGAACGCUGGCAGCGUGCUUAACACAUGCAAGUCGAACGGUAAGGCCCUUCGGGGUACACGAGUAGCGAACGGGUGAGUAACACGUGGGUGAUCUGCCCUGCACUUCGGGAUAAGCCUGGGAAACUGGGUCUAAUACCGGAUAGGACUCCGGACUGCAUGGUCUGGGGUGGAAAGCUUUUGCGGUGUGGGAUGGGCCCGCGGCCUAUCAGCUUGUUGGUGGGGUGAUGGCCUACCAAGGCGACGACGGGUAGCCGGCCUGAGAGGGUGACCGGCCACACUGGGACUGAGAUACGGCCCAGACUCCUACGGGAGGCAGCAGUGGGGAAUAUUGCACAAUGGGCGCAAGCCUGAUGCAGCGACGCCGCGUGAGGGAUGACGGCCUUCGGGUUGUAAACCUCUUUCAGCAUCGACGAAGCGAAAGUGACGGUAGGUGCAGAAGAAGGACCGGCCAACUACGUGCCAGCAGCCGCGGUAA